rnacentral:tRNA from 1 species
GGGGCAUUAGCUCAGUUGGCAGAGCGCUUGGUUCGCAAUCAAGAGGUCGAGGGUUCGACUCCCUUAUGCUCCA